rnacentral:rRNA from 1 species
AUUGAACGCUGGCGGCAGGCCUAACACAUGCAAGUCGGACGGUAGCACAGAGAGCUUGCUCUCGGGUGACGAGUGGCGGACGGGUGAGUAAUGUCUGGGAAACUGCCUGAUGGAGGGGGAUGACUACUGGAAACGGUAGCUAAUACCGCAUAACGUCGCAAGACCAAAGAGGGGGACCUUCGGGCCUCUUGCCAUCAGAUGUGCCCAGAUGGGAUUAGCUAGUAGGUGGGGUAACGGCUCACCUAGGCGACGAUCCCUAGCUGGUCUGAGAGGAUGACCAGCCACACUGGAACUGAGACACGGUCCAGACUCCUACGGAAGGCAGCAGUGGGGAAUAUUGCACAAUGGGCGCAAGCCUGAUGCAGCCAUGCCGCGUGUAUGAAGAAGGCCUUCGGGUUGUAAAGUACUUUCAGCGGGGAGGAGGGUGUUGUGGUUAGUAACCACAGCAAUUGACGUUACCCGCAGAAGAAGCACCGGCUAACUCCGUGCCAGCCGCCGCCGUAA